rnacentral:rRNA from 1 species
GGCGUCGAAGUAGUGUAUGUCAUGCUUCCAAGAAAAGCUUGCAAUGUCAUAAAUAAUAAAUGCCUGUACCAUAACCGACACAGGUGGGUAAGUAGAGUAUACUAAGGGGCGCGAGAUAACUCUCUCUAAGGAACUCGGCAAAAUAACUCCGUAACUUCGGGAGAAGGAGUGCCUUAUUCUUAAGGUUGCAAUAACAAGAUCCAAGCAACUGUUUAUCAAAAACACAGGUCUCCGCUAAGUCGUAAGACGAUGUAUGGGGGCUGACGCCUGCCCAGUGCCAGAAGGUUAAAGAAGUCGGUUAGCAAUUGCGAAGCUGGUAACUGAAGCCCUGGUGAACGGCGGCCGUAACUAUAACGGUCCUAAGGUAGCGAAAUUCCUUGUCGGGUAAGUUCCGACCCGCACGAAAGGCGUAAUGAUUUGGAUGCUGUCUCGGAGAGGGGCUCGGUGAAAUAGACUUGUCUGUGAAGAUGCGGACUACCUGCACCAGGACAGAAAGACCCUAUGAAGCUUUACUGUAACUUGAAAUUGAAAUUGGACUUUAUUCGCGCAGUAUAGGUGGGAGGCGUUGAUUAUAAUCUUGCGGGAUUAUCGGAGCCAUCAGUGAGAUACCACUCUUCUAAUGUUAGAUUUCUAACUUUGAAUCAUUAUCUGGUCAAAGGACAAUUUCAGGCGGGCAGUUUGACUGGGGCGGUCGCCUCCUAAAUGGUAACGGAGGCGUACAAAGGUUUCCUCUGAACGGUUAGAAAUCGUAUCUAGAGUGUAAAGGCAUAAGGAAGCUUGACUGUGAGACCUACAAGUCGAGCAGGGACGAAAGUCGGUCUUAGCGAUCUGACGGUACUGAGUGGAAAGGCCGUCACUCAACGGAUAAAAGUUACUCUAAGGAUAACAGGCUGAUCUCCCCCAAGAGUUCACAUCGACGGGGAGGUUUGGCACCUCGAUGUCGGCUCAUCGCAUCCUGGGGCGGUAGUACGUCCCAAGGGUUGGGCUGUUCGCCCAUGAAAGCGGUACGCGAGCUGGGUUCAGAACGUCGUGAGACAGUUCGGUCCAUCCGGUGUAGGCGUUAGAAUAUUGAGAGGAGCCUUCUUUAGUACGAGAGGACCGAGAAGGACAUACCUCUGGUGUACCAGUUAUCGUGCCAACGGUAAACGCUGGGUAGCUAUGUAUGGAGUGGAUAACCGCUGAAAGCAUCUAAGUGGGAAGCCCACCUCAAGAUAAG